rnacentral:rRNA from 1 species
UACGUAGGGACCAAGCGUUGUUCGGAUUUACUGGGCGUAAAGGGCGCGUAGGCGGCGUAUUAAGUCAGCUGUGAAAUCUCCAAGCUUAACUUGGAACGGCCAAGUGAUACUGCUGUGCUAGAGUGCAGAAGGGGCAAUCGGAAUUCUUGGUGUAGCGGUGAAAUGCGUAGAUAUCAAGAGGAACACCUGAGGUGAAGACGGGUUGCUGGGCUGACACCGACGCUGAGGCGCGAAAGCCAGGGGAGCAAACGGG